CAGCCGAAAUGGUACGGAAAAUCUCUUUCGGGAUUGUGUAUGGAUAAUAUCGUUGACAACAUGGAGAAGUGGACGGCAUCGCGUAGUUCAGAGCUCGUUUCUUGUCAUUUUUAUCAUCUGCCUUAUCAUUGUCUGGAGUACAUGACUGAAUAUCUCUUGGAAAACUACUCGCUAACAGAGGACAUGUUUGAUUUACAUUUACAGAUUAUCUGCGUACUGGAUGUCAUGCCAAAGAAAAUCUUCGCAUUUGUGGUUUGGCAUCGUUCAGAUGUUCGCAACUAACUACACUGAAGAUUCAAGAUGGCAGUAAUGAUUAUUUCAAUGAAAAAAGAAAUUCAAAAGUAGAAGUUAGAGACUUUUACUUCUAUCUUGCAGCGAUUUGAACACUUGCAAAUUCUUGAUUUGUCUUACACAAUUUAUGGUGCAAGCUGCAUGAUAAAUCUUGGAUCAACUUGUAAACCAAAAAUAAGCGAGUUGUUAGUCGAACGCUGCCCUGGUGUUACCGAUUCCGUAAUGCAAAUUUUCUGCAACGGUCAAAGUGCCCUUCACAAACUAUCUGUCUGGGGAACGGAAGUGACUCAUUUCGGAAUUCAAUGUGCUAUCGAACAUUUGCCAGAGCUGGAAGAAUUAGAUUGCGACAAUGAUUCUGAUAUCCUCAAAGUUUUUCGUAGUAUUCGUAAUGAAAACAGAGAAUCA